rnacentral:rRNA from 1 species
AUUGAACGCUGGCGGCAGGCUUAACACAUGCAAGUCGAGCGAGCGGCGGACGGGUGAGUAAUGUCUGGGAAACUGCCUGAUGGAGGGGGAUAACUACUGGAAACGGUAGCUAAUACCGCAUACCAUCAGAUGUGCCCAGAUGGGAUUAGCUAGUAGGUGGGGUAAUGGCUCACCUAGGCGACGAUCCCUAGCUGGUCUGAGAGGAUGACCAGACACACGGGAAUGUAGUAACGGGCCAGCCGCACACGGGAGGCAGCAGUGGGGAUGAUUGCACAAGGGGCGAAAGCCUGAUGCAGCAAUGACGCGUGUUGGAAGAAGGCCUUAGUGCUGUAAAGCACAUGCCGCGAGGAGGCGGGACUCGCAGAAGAAGCACCGGCUAACUCCGUGCCAGCAGCCGCGGUAAUUC